GCGACUAAGCGUACACGGUGGAUGCCCUGGCAGUCAGAGGCGAUGAAGGACGUGCUAAUCUGCGAUAAGCGUCGGUAAGGUGAUAUGAACCGUUAUAACCGGCGAUUUCCGAAUGGGGAAACCCAGUGUGUUUCGACACACUAUCAUUAACUGAAUCCAUAGGUUAAUGAGGCGAACCGGGGGAACUGAAACAUCUAAGUACCCCGAGGAAAAGAAAUCAACCGAGAUUCCCCCAGUAGCGGCGAGCGAACGGGGAGCAGCCCAGAGCCUGAAUCAGUGUGUGUGUUAGUGGAAGCGUCUGGAAAGGCGCGCGAUACAGGGUGACAGCCCCGUACACAAAAAUGCACAUACUGUGAGCUCGAUGAGUAGGGCGGGACACGUGGUAUCCUGUCUGAAUAUGGGGGGACCAUCCUCCAAGGCUAAAUACUCCUGACUGACCGAUAGUGAACCAGUACCGUGAGGGAAAGGCGAAAAGAACCCCGGCGAGGGGAGUGAAAAAGAACCUGAAACCGUGUACGUACAAGCAGUGGGAGCACGCUUCGGCGUGUGACUGCGUACCUUUUGUAUAAUGGGUCAGCGACUUAUAUUCUGUAGCAAGGUUAACCGAAUAGGGGAGCCGAAGGGAAACCGAGUCUUAACUGGGCGUUAAGUUGCAGGGUAUAGACCCGAAACCCGGUGAUCUAGCCAUGGGCAGGUUGAAGGUUGGGUAACACUAACUGGAGGACCGAACCGACUAAUGUUGAAAAAUUAGCGGAUGACUUGUGGCUGGGGGUGAAAGGCCAAUCAAACCGGGAGAUAGCUGGUUCUCCCCGAAAGCU
rnacentral:rRNA from 1 species